rnacentral:rRNA from 1 species
AUUCCAGCUCCAAUAGCGUAUAUAAAUGUUGUUGCGGUUAAAAAGCCCGUAGUUGGAUUUGAGGAUCUUGUCCGCAAGCUGACUCCAUGCUGCUUCGGUAGUGUGGUCCAUCAGCGAGCAUUAUGGCAAGGUUCUGAGACAUGUGGGAACGUCCACCGUCAGCGUGUGCGGGUGAAUGCUCUGUACACGUUGGCAUAUAAAGCGGAGAGUCAUCUUUGAACACUCCGUAAGGUGCGCCCGCAGCCGUCACUGUGAACAAAUCAGAGUGCUCAAGGCAACCAGUAUGAAUGGUUGAAUGCUAAAGCAUGGAAUGACAAGGGAUCGACCUCGGAUGGCGUCUUUUUGUUUGGUCUUUGCGCCUCUUGCGGCCCCUUUGGGGUCCGAAGGAGAAUUUUGUGGUUUAGCACCCUCAGGGCUCGAGUUCUGCUCGGUCUUGUGGGCGGCCACAGCACGGGAUAAAUAGGAUCACGGGGGGCCCUCGGCU